rnacentral:rRNA from 1 species
UACGUAGGUGGCGAGCGUUGUCCGGAUUUACUGGGCGUAAAGAGCGCGCAGGCGGCUGGUCAAGUCCGAUGUGAAAGCUCCCGGCUUAACUGGGAAAUUGCAUCGGAAACUGAUCGGCUGGAAGGUGGGAGAGGGUAGCGGAAUUCCCGGUGUAGUGGUGAAAUGCGUAGAUAUCGGGAGGAACACCAGUGGCGAAGGCAGGUCUCUGGGCAUUAACUGACGCUGAGGAGCGAAAGCAUGGGGAGCGAACAGG